rnacentral:rRNA from 1 species
UGGGGAAUAUUGCACAAUGGAGGAAACUCUGAUGCGGCGACGCCGCGUGAGCGAUGAAGUAUUUCGGUAUGUAAAGCUCUAUCAGCAGGGAAGAUAAUGACGGUACCUGAGUAAGAAGCUCCGGCUAAAUACGUGCCAGCAGCCGCGGUAAUACGUAUGGUGCAAGCGUUAUCCGGAUUUACUGGGUGUAAAGGGAGCGCAGGCGGUCUGGCAAGUCUGAUGUGAAAGCCCGGGGCUCAACCCCGGGACUGCAUUGGAAACUGUCAGACUAGAGUGUCGGAGAGGUAAGUGGAAUUCCUAGUGUAGCGGUGAAAUGCGUAGAUAUUAGGAGGAACACCAGUGGCGAAGGCGGCUUACUGGACGAUAACUGACGCUGAGGCUCGAAAGCGUGGGGAGC